rnacentral:lncRNA from 1 species
GUUGUAGGUGUUGGGUUAAGGUCACUACAGUAUAAACUCAGUAUAGACCAGGUUAUGAGGUUGCUAGGUGUUGGGUUAAGGUCACUACAGUAUUAACUCAGUAUAGACCAGGUUAUGAGGUUGCUAGGUGUUGGGUUAAGGCCACUACAGUAUAAACUCAGUAUAGACCAGGUUAUGAGGUUGCUAGGUGUUGGGUUAAGGUCACUACAGUAUAAACUCAGUAUAGACCAGGUUAUGAGGUUGCUAGGUGUUGGGUUAAGGCCACUACAGUAUAAACUCAGUAUAGACCAGGUUAUGAGGUUGCUAGGUGUUGGGUUAAGGUCACUACAGUAUAAACUCAGUAUAGACCAGGUUAUGAGGUUGCUAGGUGUUGGGUUAAGGUCACUACAGUAUAAACUCAGUAUAGACCAGGUUAUGAAAUUGCUAGGUGUUGGGUUAAGGUCACUACAGUAUAAACUCAGUAUAGACCAGGUUAUGAGGUUGCUAGGUGUUGGGUUAAGGUCACUACAGUAUAAACUCAGUAUAGACCAGGUUAUGAGGUUGCUAGGUGUUGGGUUAAGGUCAGUAUCAACUAGGUUGUGGGGACUGUCUGGUAAUUAGUCAAAUCUUAUGUCAUUGGUGUAGAAAAAGUAAUAAUCAAUAUGCUGGAUGUAUUAUAAACAUUGUAUUGUGAAGACAUGUUUUAUUUAGUUAAUGUCAUUACACUAGACCAAAACCUGUCUAGCUGUCUGUUGAAUUACACUAGACCAAAACCUGUCUAGCUGUGUGUUGAAUUACACUGGACCUAAACCUGUCUAGCUGUGUGUUGAAUUACACUGGACCAAAACCUGUCUAGCUGUCUGUUGAAUUACACUGGACCUAAACCUGUCUAGCUGUCUGUUGAAUUACAC